rnacentral:rRNA from 1 species
AGUGAACGCUGGCGGUAGGCCUAACACAUGCAAGUCGAACGGCAACACAGUAAGAUCUUGCUCUUACGGGUGGCGAGUGGCGGACGGGUGAGGAAUACAUCGGCAUCUACUUUUUCGUGGGGGAUAACGUAGGGAAACUUACGCUAAUACCGCAUACGACCUACGGGUGAAAGCAGGGGAUCUUCGGACCUUGCGCGAUUGAAUGAGCCGAUGUCGGAUUAGCUAGUUGGCGGGGUAAAGGCCCACCAAGGCGACGAUCCGUAGCUGGUCUGAGAGGAUGAUCAGCCACACUGGAACUGAGACACGGUCCAGACUCCUACGGGAGGCAGCAGUGGGGAAUAUUGGACAAUGGGCGCAAGCCUGAUCCAGCCAUACCGCGUGGGUGAAGAAGGCCUUCGGGUUGUAAAGCCCUUUUGUUGGGAAAGAAAAGCAGCAGGUUAAUACCCCGCUGUUCUGACGGUACCCAAAGAAUAAGCACCGGCUAACUUCGUG